rnacentral:rRNA from 1 species
GCAUGCCUUACACAUGCAAGUCGAACGGCAGCGGGGGUAGCUUGCUACCUGCCGGCGAGUGGCGAACGGGUGAGUAAUACAUCGGAACGUGCCCUGUAGUGGGGGAUAACUAGUCGAAAGACUAGCUAAUACCGCAUACGACCUGAGGGUGAAAGUGGGGGACCGCAAGGCCUCAUGCUAUAGGAGCGGCCGAUGUCUGAUUAGCUAGUUGGUGGGGUAAAGGCCCACCAAGGCGACGAUCAGUAGCUGGUCUGAGAGGACGAUCAGCCACACUGGGACUGAGACACGGCCCAGACUCCUACGGGAGGCAGCAGUGGGGAAUUUUGGACAAUGGGGGCAACCCUGAUCCAGCAAUGCCGCGUGUGUGAAGAAGGCCUUCGGGUUGUAAAGCACUUUUGUCCGGAAAGAAAUCGCUUCGGUUAAUACCUGGAGUGGAUGACGGUACCGGAAGAAUAAGGACCGGCUAACUACGUGCCAGCAGCCGCGGUAAUACGUAGGGUCCAAGCGUUAAUCGGAAUUACUGGGCGUAAAGCGUGCGCAGGCGGUUGUGCAAGACCGAUGUGAAAUCCCCGGGCUUAACCUGGGAAUUGCAUUGGUGACUGCACAGCUAGAGUGUGUCAGAGGGAGGUAGAAUUCCACGUGUAGCAGUGAAAUGCGUAGAGAUGUGGAGGAAUACCGAUGGCGAAGGCAGCCUCCUGGGAUAACACUGACGCUCAUGCACGAAAGCGUGGG